rnacentral:rRNA from 1 species
UACGGAGGGUGCGAGCGUUAAUCGGAAUUACUGGGCGUAAAGGGUGCGUAGGUGGUUUAAUAAGUUAUCUGUGAAAUCCCUGGGCUUAACCUAGGCAGGUCAGAUAAGACUGUUAGACUCGAGUAUGGGAGAGGGUAGUGGAAUUUCCGGUGUAGCGGUGAAAUGCGUAGAGAUCGGAAGGAACACCAGUGGCGAAGACGGCUACCUGGCCUAAUACUGACACUGAGGCACGAAAGCGUGGGGAGCAAACAGG